AACCCAUGUUGAGGACAUUUUUGCAAGAGCUCCUUGAACCUAUCCCAUGUCUCAAAUAAAGAAUCCAAUUCCAUUUGCACAAAGGAAAGAUAUUUUAUUCAUAAGCUU